rnacentral:rRNA from 1 species
GAUGAACGCUAGCGGCAGGCCUAACACAUGCAAGUCGAGCGCCCCGCAAGGGGAGCGGCGGACGGGUGAGUAACGCGUGGGAACGUGCCUCUUGCUACGGAAUAGCCUCGGGAAACUGGGAGUAAUACCGUAUGUGCCCUACGGGGGAAAGAUUUAUCGGCAAGAGAUCGGCCCGCGUUGGAUUAGGUAGUUGGUGGGGUAAUGGCCUACCAAGCCGACGAUCCAUAGCUGGUUUGAGAGGAUGAUCAGCCACACUGGGACUGAGACACGGCCCAGACUCCUACGGGAGGCAGCAGUGGGGAAUCUUAGACAAUGGGCGCAAGCCUGAUCUAGCCAGGCCGCGUGAGCGAUGAAGGCCUUAGGGUUGUAAAGCUCUUUCAGUGGGGAAGAUAAUGACUGUACCCACAGAAGAAGCCCCGGCUAACUCCGUGCCAGCAGCCGCCGUAAAAC